CCUACGGGAGGCAGCAGUUAGGAAUAUUCGUCAAUGGGGGAAACCCUGAACGAGCAAUGCCGCGUGAUUGAAGAAGGUCAUUAUGAUUGUAAAGAUCUGUUGCGAAGGAAGAACAAGUGAUAUAGGAAAUGAUAUCACCUUGACGGUACUUCGCCAGAAAGGGACGGCUAACUACGUGCCAGCAGCCGCGGUAAUACGUAGGUCCCGAGCGUUAUCCGGAAUUAUUGGGCGUAAAGGGUUCGUAGACGGUUUAUUAAGUUCAUUGGUUAAAUCCCGAGGCUCAACCUCGGGUCGCCAUGAAAACUGAUAGACUUGAGUACAGUAGAGGCAAGUGGAAUUCCUAGUGUAGCGGUGGAAUGCGUAGAUAUUAGGAGGAACACCAGUGGCGAAGGCGGCUUGCUGGGCUGUAACUGACGUUGAUGAACGAAAGCGUGGGGAGCAAAUAGGAUUAGAUACCCUAGUAGUCCACGCCGUAAACGAUGAGUACUAAGUGUUGGGGUUACCCAGUGCUGAAGUUAACACAUUAAGUACUCCGCCUGAGUAGUACGGUCGCAAGGCUGAAACUCAAANGAAUGACGG
rnacentral:rRNA from 1 species